rnacentral:RNase_P_RNA from 1 species
GCAGGCAGACGGGCGAUCGCCGUCAACUUCGGUUGAGGGAGGAAAGUCCGAACUCCGCAGGGCGGUGUGCCUCGUAGUGCGAGGGCCCGUAAGGGACGGAAAGUGCCACAGAAAACAUACCGCUGGGAGGUAUCUCCCAGUAAGGGUGAAAAGGUGCGGUAAGAGCGCACCAGCGAUCCGGAAACGGAUCGGCUUGGUAAACCCCACACGGAGCAAGGCCAAAUAGGGAAACGUGGCGCUCUUUCGAGCGCCGGCGACGGCCCGUCGCAGUUUCCGGGUAGGCUGCUUGAGCCUUUGGGAAACCAAAGGCCUAGAUGAAUGAUCGCCGCGCCCGCAAGGGCGUACAGAAUUCGGCUUACAGUCUGCCUGUCAUC